AACGGUAGUUAAUACCGCAUAGCGUCGCAAGACCAAAGAGGGGGACCUUCGGGCCUCUUACCAUCGGAUGUGCCCAGAUGGGAUUAGCUAGUAGGUGGGGUAACGGCUCACCUAGGCGACGAUCCCUAGCUGGUCUGAGAGGAUGACCAGCCACACUGGAACUGAGACACGGUCCAGACUCCUACGGGAGGCAGCAGUGGGGAAUAUUGCACAAUGGGCGCAAGCCUGAUGCAGCCAUGCCGCGUGUAUGAAGAAGGCCUUCGGGUUGUAAAGUACUUUCAGCGGGGAGAAAGGCGAUAAGGUUAAUAUCCUUGUCGAUAGGAGUACCCGCAGAAGAAGC
rnacentral:rRNA from 1 species